rnacentral:rRNA from 1 species
AGCAGCCGCGGUAAUUCCAGCUCCAAUAGCGUAUAUUAAAGUUGUUGCAGUUAAAAAGCUCGUAGUUGAAUUUCGGGGUCAGUAGGCUGGUCGUGCCACAGGUAUGUACUGGUCUUACUGAUUCCUCCUUCCUGAUGAACCGUAAUGCCAUUAAUUUGGUGUUGCGGGGAAUCUGGACUGUUACUUUGAAAAAAUUAGAGUGUUUAAAGCAGGCUAACGCUUGAAUACAUUAGCAUGGAAUAAUGAAAUAGGACGAUCGAUCCUAUUUUGUUGGUUUCUAGGAUUGACGUAAUGAUUAAUAGGGAUAGUUGGGGGCAUUAGUAUUCAAUUGUCAGAGGUGAAAUUCUUGGAUUUAUUGAAGACUAACUACUGCGAAAGCAUUUGCCAAGGAUGUUUUCAUUAAUCAAGAACGAAAGUUAGGGGAUCGAAGACGGUCAGAUACCGUCGUAGUCUUAACCAUAAACUAUGCCGACUAGGGAUCGGAUGAUGUUAAUUUUUAAUGACUCAUUCGGCGCCUUAC